UUGAUUCAUCAUCGCAAAGGUAAGAAUAGACCAUGGCGAUUAAAAGUAUCUUCCUGAUUGUCUUAGCUGGAACAGUCCUUCACUGUGUAGCUGGUGCCGAACAGUGCAGCUUGGGAGAUUCUGUCGGGAAACUUCUUCAAAGCUGUCAAGCGUUGAAGCAGUGUCCGGAUGGUUGGGGAAUGAACAAGCAGACCGGGUCCUGUUACAAGUACAUCGGAGAAGCUCUGUCCUGGAGUGCUGCUAGAUCAAGAUGUCUUAGUUAUGAUGGAGCAGAUAUGGCUAGUCUGUCAACCAAGGAAGAGAUGGGUUUUGCCUAUGACUACAUCUUUUCUGUCAUCGGUACAGCCACCUGGAAGAACGUCUGGAUCGGUUUGGAGCGAGAUGGCAAUGGGUGGCGCUGGUUGGAUGGUAGCACGCUGACCAUAAAUGAUAAAGGAUUUUGGACUCCCGGUGAACCAAACAAUGCAGGUGGUGAAGAUGUCGUCGAGAUGUACUCCAAUGGCCUCACUAAUGACAAAUCUCGAAGAGACAGCAAUCGCUAUCAUGUUAUCUGCGAAAUGAAGAUGUAAAACCACUUCCGCACUUCAAUCAGCUAAUAUUUGAUCAGAAUAGCCUCAAGCGGGUGGCUGAGGUGUGACACACCCUUGACAAAUUUCUGUAGGCGCAUUUUGGGCAUUUUAGAGCAAAUAUUAUUGCAAAAAAAUAUAACGUUUUUAUUUAUUUAUUUGUUGGCUCUUGAGAAUUUUUUAAAACAUUAAGUUUAUUCUAUUUUUAUUACAACAUGUUAUCUCAAUCAAUGUCAGUUAAAUUGUAAAAUCUAAGGGAGCAUUUGUUUUUCUUUGCCACAAGACCGCUUGUCCUCAUAGAGCCAAAAGAGACUUCACUGAACAAUUUAAAUAAUAGUUCACGAUAUCAAAUCUUCUUUAGGAUUAUUGAGGAAAAAAGGUACAGUCUCGUAUAUACAGAAGCAUCAAAUAAAUUAUAGACUACAUUAUUGCUCUCGGUAAGUGUAUCUCACACACGCUAUUUAAGCUAGCAUCAUGUUGUGUAGGUCGUGUAUCUAUUUCUUGUGAUCGGUGAAGAAAAAA